rnacentral:rRNA from 1 species
UACGAAGGGGGCAAACGUUGCUCGGAAUCAUUGGGCGUAAAGCGCACGUAGGCGGCUUGCCAAGUCGGACGUGAAAUCCCUCAGCUCAACUGAGGACGUGCAUCCGAAACUGGCGAGCUUGAGUGCUGAAGAGGAUCGCGGAAUUCCCGGUGUAGAGGUGAAAUUCGUAGAUAUCGGGAGGAACACCAGUGGCGAAGGCGGCGCCCUGGACGGACACUGACGCUGAGACGCGAAAGCGUGGGGAGCAAACAGG